UACGUAGGGGGCGAGCGUUGUCCGGAUUCAUUGGGCGUAAAGGGCUCGUAGGCGGCCAACUAAGUCAGACGUGAAAUCCCUCGGCUUAACCGGGGAACUGCGUCUGAUACUGGAUGGCUAGAGGAUGGGAGAGGGAUGCGGAAUUCCAGGUGUAGCGGUGAAAUGCGUAGAUAUCUGGAGGAACACCGGUGGCGAAGGCGGCAUCCUGGACCAAUUCUGACGCUGAGGCGCGAAAGCCAGGGGAGCAAACGGG
rnacentral:rRNA from 1 species